rnacentral:piRNA from 1 species
UUCCCUGAAGCUACUUGGCUUGACACUGA